rnacentral:rRNA from 1 species
ACUCCUACGGGAGGCAGCAGUGGGGAAUAUUGCACAAUGGGGGAAACCCUGAUGCAGCCAUGCCGCGUGUGUGAAGAAGGCCUUCGGGUUGUAAAGCACUUUCAGUAGGGAGGAAGGUAGUGUAGUUAACACCGUGCAAUUAUUGCGUUACCUACAGAAGAAGCACCGGCUAAACUCCGUGCCAGCANCCGCGGUAAUACGGAGGGUGCGAGCGUUAAUCGGAAUUACUGGGCGUAAAGCGCAUGCAGGUGGUUUGUUAAGUCAGAUGUGAAAGCCCGGGGCUCAACCUCGGAAUAGCAUUUGAAACUGGCAAGCUAG